rnacentral:rRNA from 1 species
GGGACACGUGGUAUCCUGUCUGAAUAUGGGGGGACCAUCCUCCAAGGCUAAAUACUCCUGACUGACCGAUAGUGAACCAGUACCGUGAGGGAAAGGCGAAAAGAACCCCGGCGAGGGGAGUGAAAAAGAACCUGAAACCGUGUACGUACAAGCAGUGGGAGCACGCUUAGGCGUGUGACUGCGUACCUUUUGUAUAAUGGGUCAGCGACUUAUAUUCUGUAGCAAGGUUAACCGAAUAGGGGAGCCGAAGGGAAACCGAGUCUUAACUGGGCGUUAAGUUGCAGGGUAUAGACCCGAAACCCGGUGAUCUAGCCAUGGGCAGGUUGAAGGUUGGGUAACACUAACUGGAGGACCGAACCGACUAAUGUUGAAAAAUUAGCGGAUGACUUGUGGCUGGGGGUGAAAGGCCAAUCAAACCGGGAGAUAGCUGGUUCUCCCCGAAAGCUAUUUAGGUAGCGCCUCGUGAAUUCAUCUCCGGGGGUAG